AGGUUCCUAUUUAUCUAUUUUUACAGAAUUUAGAGGAGAAAAAACUAUUUUAAAUGAUUAAAAGUGUUCCAAUAAAACAGAUAUUCUAAUAGUCACAUCUUCUCCUAAACACCGUAACUCCUACUACACCGAUUAAAAGAGAAGUGGUUACAAACCCUGCCACUUAUUACCAUAACCUAAAAACAACGUUCCCCCACUCCUUUCUUGCACACCGAUUCUUCAAUUGUCUCAACUUUCUUUCAUUCCCCUUCUUUUAUUCUUCCUUUUCCAACCUUUUUCGAUCUGUUGUUCCCUUUCUUCAAUUUUGCUCAAUUAUAUGGUAAAUGGCCCUUACAAUUUGUCACUUGUCAGAAUGUGGAAUAAAUGACUUUGCAUUCUGGAUUUAAUGGGAGUUUAAAGUCAAAUUUCAAAUUGACCCUUGUUAUGUUUAUAACUUCUGACAAAUUCAACCAAUUUUAGAAGGUACACGAAGAUUUGGUUAUAGUACAUAUUUUCGGUGACGUGGUAUAGUUGACAUCUUUUUCAAUUAUAUAUGCACCUUUUUUAAGAAAAGUCUUCAACUCAUCUACUAAUGUCUAUAUCUUUAAUCAUUGUCUUUUUCCUGUUUCGGGUUUCCGUUACGUUCGUUUUGAUGUUUUUAUUCUAACAUGUCUUUGAAUUACUCCUUCACUGUUGUUGUACUACCAACUUAAUUAUUCUGAAUUUAAAGUUGUUGUACUAAUUAUUAGCCAAGAGAUGAAAGCAAAGAGAAAUCGAGGAGCUUGCUAUCCGUCCAUCAAUAUAUUUUCAAAACUUACCGAGCCAGGAGAUGAAAGCAAGAAAAAAAAAACGAGGAGCUUGCUAUCCGUCCAUGAAAAUAUUUUCACAACUUUAACGAGCUUGAGAAUAUUCCAUGGGAAGUGACAGAUGAAGAGGCUAGAAGACAAUAAUAAGUGUUGAUGGCACUUCAAAUGCUCACAGGUUUGGUCUUUCCGGUCUUAUUACAUUUUAGCUUAUUCAAGCUCAAAAUCCUUCAGUACUGUCAUUCUUACAUGCCCUUCAAUGUAAUGUUUGUACUCCUUCCAUGUUGAAAAAUCAUUUAUUUUGGAUUAAAGGUAAAAGCUAAAAAACAAUAUAACAUGGAUCGGAGGUAGUAUAUACUAAAUCACCACUAAUGUUGCACCGGUUGAAAUUCUGCCAAAAAAAAAACCUUCUUCAAAUUAGGUGUUGAGCCUUUAACGUGACCAUAUUAGAAAUCUGUUGGACGAAAUGUUGGGUGCAGUGAGACAGUUGCCUUGAUAUCGGUUCCAUCUUGAAGGACUUGGAGCCUGGUGCUUGACAGAAACAUGAUUUAUGUUGAGAGAGAGAUCAAUUUUAAUAGCCACUGGGGAUUAAGGCUGGCAUAGGCAAAUGAAGCCUUUGUUUUAGUCCUCGAAAAAAAGAUUAUAAUUACUAGAGAAAUAGACUUUCAAUGAAAAUUUAUUAACUAAGUUUAGGCCUCAUUAGAAGAGCACUCUUGGAGUAACAGUAAAGUUGUCUUUGUAUGACCUAUAGGCCACGAGUUCGAGUCGUGGAAAUAGACACUAAUGCUUGAAUUAGGGUUGCCUAUCUACACCACACCCCUUCAGGUGCCACUCUUCCCCGCUAACGCGGAAUGCUUUGUGCACCAAGUUGCCCUUUUCACCCUUUAGUUUAGGUCUUAUUAUGAGGUUCGACUUUAGGCCCUUAAUACUAUUGAGCCACCCUAGACAAUCGGUUGUCGAUCCAUUGUAAUAGGUCAUGGUAGAAAAAUAAAGA